UACAGAGACGUCGAGCGUUGUUCGGAUUCAUUGGGCGUAAAGGGUGCGUAGGCGGUCAGGCAAGUCGGAUGUGAAAUCCCGAAGCUUAACUUCGGAAGUGCAUCCGAAACUACCUGGCUCGAGGGCUGGAGGGGAGACUGGAAUUUACGGUGUAGCGGUGAAAUGCGUAGAUAUCGUAAGGAAGACCAGUGGCGAAGGCGGGUCUCUGGACAGUUCCUGACGCUGAGGCACGAAGGCCAGGGGAGCAAACGGG
rnacentral:rRNA from 1 species